CUGAAGUGAUGAGUGACUUUUACCGCCCCAGUCUGAUGUCUAGUGACUGACUGGUAACCCUCUGAUCUCCU